rnacentral:lncRNA from 1 species
ACAAUUGGUAAAGCAGUGUCUCUUCAUAAAGAAUAUUAGUUCAAGAUGAAGUCCAUUAAAUUGUUUGAUACUGUAACCCCAGACUUAGGAGUAGCCUUCAGAGCAUAUUUUAGCUCCUUGAAGCCCACAUUCCUUCAGAUAAAACUAUACUUAAAAUCCCAGGGAAUGCUUCUCUUUAACUUAUCACUAUUCUCCCGACCUUCAAAAACAUCUCCCAAAUUUCAAAUUAUAUUGUUAGCUUUAUUUAAACCAUUUACAAUUAACUGGGUCAUUUACUAGCUGCAGACUAGGAAACCAAGCAUAGUAUUCACCUCUGCCAAGGGUUGAACACACUAUAGUGCCCACGAAGAGAAACCCUUGAGCCGUCAUCUAAACUCAUA